rnacentral:rRNA from 1 species
ACGGAAGGCAGCAGCUAAGAAUAUUCCGCAAUGGACGAAAGUCUGACGGAGCGACGCCGUGUGGAUGAUGAAGGCCGGAAGGUUGUAAAAUCCUUUUAUAACUGAGGAAUAAGUACUAUCAGAGAAAGGUAGUAUGGUGACUGUAGGUUAUGAAUAAGCAACGGCUAAUUACGUGCCAGCAGCCGCGGUAACACGUAAGUUGCGAGCGUUGUUCGGAAUUAUUGGGCGUAAAGGGCAUGUAGGCGGUUUUGCAAGCUUGGUGUGAAAUCCCGGAGCUUAACUCCGGAAUUGCGUUGAGAACUGCAUAACUAGAGUCACUGAGGGCAAUCAGAAUUCCAGGUGUAGGGGUGAAAUCUGUAGAUAUCUGGAAGAAUACCAAUGGCGAAGGCAGGUUGCUAGCAGAUGACUGACGCUGAGGUGCGAAGGUGCGGGGAGCAAACAGGAUUAGAUACCCUGGUA